UAAGUACCAGUUGCACACUGGGGUCGAUCUAAUUGCCUACCCCACCCCCCACCCACCCCCACCCACAAAAAUUUCAGGCCUUGUGCCUAGAGUAGAAAAAAAUAAUGGUGAUGAUGAUUUUUUUUUUGUCUCCAGUGAUCAGGUGUGCUACAGAAUUGUGCAUAGAUGUAGAAAAUUAUACUGAAGUAUGUAUGGAAUGAUUUGUGAGAAUAUUUUCCAAAUUGUUGGUAAACUGGCACCGGGAACGAAGCAAGUGUGGUGCCUUUGCUUGAUUCUACUACUGUUAUUCCAAGAGAUCACAAGCUAUAAAGGCAUGGUUACAGCCUUGCAUUUUGGCGUUUAUAUAUUAGCCUCGUAACAGUAUAAGAACUAAAAAGGAAUGUUUAAUAUGAUGGAGUGCAUUUUCAUGUUUAAAACAGAAUCUUGAAGAAGGAAUCCCAAACAUAUAGCACAAGUUUUUGGGGCCGUUAAAGGGACAGGUUUAGGUUCAUCUAUAGUCUCCAUGUGUUGGUGUAAUGGUAGUUAUGUAGGGAAUUAUGAUUAAUUUUAGGAGGUAAACUAUGUAGGGAGAUAAUUGUGUUUGAAAAUAUAUUUUGUUGUAAACUUUAUGGUUGAUUUGUUUGUUGUUUUAUGUAUUGUGUUGUUAUUGUCUCUUGCCAGCUUUAUUAGCGCUACUACUGUUUGAAGAUUGAACAGUUACAUUAUAAAAGCACAAUAGAUUUAAAGUUCAUUGAUUAUUGAAGGGAGAUCAAUAUUAGUAGCUGGAUUUCAGGUGUUGAACUGCCAGAAUCAUUAGUUGGCCAAGCAAAAUGCUUACCGGCAUUUUGUCUGUCUUUAUGUUCUGAGUUCAGAUGCAGCUGGGGUUGACUUUACUUUCCAUCCUUUCGGGGUCCAUAGAAAACGUAACAACUGAAUGCUAGGGGUUGAUUUAAUUGACUUACCCCCCCCAAAAAAAAACUGCUGGCCUUGUGCCCAUAUUUGAAAUUCAACUCUAGUGGAGACAACAAGGUAGAAAUCAGUGAUUGGUGAAAUAUAACAACAAUAUUUAGUAACUUUUUAGGUUUGUGAAGUCUCUAGGGACUCCAUGAUAAAUGCUUUAAGGAUGCUUUUUUUUCUUGCUUUUGUCCUCCUGAUAUUAAAGUCGAGAGCCAGAACAAUGAGACGCUGCUCUUACUACAACUGUAUCAAAGAGUUUCUGUCAGAUGAUGCUCGGCUGUGCUGGAACAAAUAUUUGGUGACACAAAAUGUAUCGGUUUAUAAUACUGGGAACAAACCUUCUGUAAUUUGUUGAUUGGUGAUACAGCAAUGGCUAUUUUUAUAAUAUUGGCAUGUAUUAAUCAUUUGGAAUAACAUUUGGUGACACAGGGAUAUCACUGGGCAAAAUGUUUGUUGGGAACACAUCUUCAUAUUUGAUGUUGAUUGGUAAUACAAGGAUAACUUUUCCUUUUGUGUAAAAUUGGUGGGCAAAACAGGGAUAACAUUUUCUUCUCUCUAAUAUUGAUUGGCAACUGAGGGUUAACCCAUCUUCCUUCUAAAAAAAAUGGUGAUUUGUAACACAGAAAUAACACUGCCUCCUAUUAAAUGCUGAUUGGCAACAGGGAUAACCGUUCCUCAUGUCAAAUUUUGGUUGGUAACAUAAGGACAAUGCUUCCUCCUACCAAAAAUGGUUUUUAUUGGUGACGGGAAUAAGAUUCCCUGCCAAGCGUUGAUUGACAACACAGGGAUAAUGCUUCCUGCCAAAUGUCGGUAAAAGACACUUUUUGCUUUUUUAUUUCAUUUUUUUUUCAAUGAAAAAACACUUUUUUCGGCGUGUCUGUGUAUAUAUUUUUAAAUUCUCAUCUGUCUGCUCUAAAAGUAGAGUAUAUUUGUUGGAGUGAUGACGACGACGACAUUUUAGAAUGAGACGGAUGAGAGGAAGCUGGCAGGGAUCAAGGCAGGGAUGGGAAUUCAUGUCAGCUCAGUGUGUACGUCAGCGUCAGUGCAUGUGUGCGUUCCUCGAUGCAUGCACAAACGUCUGUGAGUGUGUGUGUGUCUGGUUGUCGAUGCCUCUUUCUAUACACUUUGUAUAGGUCACCCAGUCUGUAUCAAUUCUUAAUCCCCACCUCCCUCUCUCUCUCUCCAAGUAUUUAUGUACAUCUGUCAAUAUGUAAAUACAGACACACACAUGCAGAAGAACAUGUUUGAUGUCAAUUUGUGUAGAAAUAAACUUUCAAAAAAAUAAUUUUAAAAUUU
rnacentral:lncRNA from 1 species